CACCCUAUCCCAGUCCUCUUGCUUCCCUGGCGCUGCUCCCAUGUGGAGAAGCCUCUACCUGGUCAGAUGUGGACCUGGGCAGGCUCACUGCAUUGAAAGGCUAUGCGCACAGGGGCACGGGCCUCACUCACACUUUCCAGGAGCCCCUGCAAACACUCUGGAUGGACACCUGAAACACAGAUGCACCACCGAAAGUGGAAAUACCGUGUCCUUAGGAUUCUGGAACUUACUCUUUAUUUUUCUUUAUUUCUCUCUGUUUUGGCCUUCCUGAGGCAUAUGGAGUUCCCAGACCAGGGAUCAGAUCUGAGCCACAGCUUCAACCUACACUGCAACUGUGGCAAUGCCAGAUCUUUUUAUUUUAUUUUUUUUGUCUUUUUGCUAUUUCUUGGGCUGCUCAUGCGGCAUAUGGAGGUUCCCAGGCUAGGGGUCCAAUCGGAGGUGUAGCUGCUGGCCUACGCCACAGCCACGGCAACGCUAGAUCUGAGCUGCAUCUGCAACCUACACCACAGCUUGGCAACGCCAGAUCCUUAAUCCACCGAGUGAGACAGGGAUUGAACCUGCAACCUCAGGGUUCCUAGUCGGAUUCAUUUCCACUGUGCCACAACAGGAACUCCUCAAACUUUUCAUUAUUAUUGUAUUUGUUACGGUGAUCUGUGAUCAGUAAUCCCUGUUAGUGUUGCAAAAUGAUUAUGAUUUGCUGAAUGCUCAGAUGAUGGUUAGUAUAUCUAAUUUUUUUUUUUAAUUUUUAGGGCCGAACCUGUGGCAUAUGGAGGUUCCCAGUCUAGGGGUAUAAUCGGAGCUACAGCUGCCGGCCUAGACCACAGCUGCAGCCACAUAGGAUCUGAGUCGUGUCUGUGCCCUAAACCACACAGCUCGUGACAACACUGGAUCCCUGACCCACUGAGUGAGGCCAGGGAUCAAACCCAUGUCCUUGUGCGUACUAGUUGGGUUCAUUAACCACUGAGCCACGAUGGAAACUCUAGUAAUAAAAUAUUUUUAUUUUUGUAACUAUUAUUUUCUUUUUUUUUUUUUUUGCUUUUCAGGGCCUCACUUGCAGCAUGUGGAGGUUCCCAGGCUAGGUGUCUAAUCAGAGCUGCAGCUGCCGGCCUAUGCCACAGCCACAGCCACAGCCACAGCAAGCCAGCACUGAGCCAUGUUUGUGACCUACACCACAGCUCACAGCAAUGCCAGAUCCUUAACCCACUGAACGAAGCCAGGGAUCGAACCUGCAUCCUCAUGGUUCCUAGUCUGAUUCCUGCUGAGCCACGAUGGGAACUGCUAAAAUAUUUUUAAAUUAAGGCAGGUACAUAUUCUUAGACAUAAUGCUUCAUGGUAUUAAUUGCACAUUUAAUAGAUUACAGUAUAGUGUAAAUAUAACUUUUUUUUCUUCUUUUUUGGCUGCCCCAUGGCAUAUGGAGUUCCUGGGUCAGGGAUCAGAUCUGAGCCACAGCUGUGACCUUGCUGCAGCUGUAGCAAUGCUGGAUCCUUUAACCCAUUGUGCUGGGCUGGGGACCUGUGUCCUAGUGCUGCAAAGAUGCUGCUAAUCCCAUUGUGCCACAGUGGGAACUCCUGUAAACUUAACUUUUGUAUGCACCAAAAAGUUCAUGUUGACUUCGUUUAUUAUGGUAUUCACUUUAUUGCAGUAGUAUGGAAUCAAGAUUGCUCACAAUAUCUGAGGUAUGCCUGCUGUAUACCUGAGGUAUACUAACUGUGCUAACUAUACUAACAAUACUAACUAAAUUUUUAUUUCAAGGAAAAAUGAGGAAAAUAUCAAAUAAUGAUUAUCAGUAAAUUUCUCAUGACCUUGGAGGCCAGAUGGCUUGGGUUGAUGAAUUCAAAAUGUUGAAGGAAAAAAGCUGUCAACCAAGAAUCUUUUCUCUAACAAAACUGUCCCUCAGAGAUGAGGGUGAAACUGAAAGCUUCCCAGAGAAGCCAAGACUGAGGAAGGUCUUUGCUACCAGACCUGCCUGUAAUGCAGGGCAUCCUGCCAGUUGAAAUGAAAGGCAGUGGACAGUAACCCAAAGCCUGUGAGCAAGUGAACGUCUUUGGUAAAAGUAAAUACACAGGAGUUCCUGCCGUGGUGUAAUGGGAUUGGCAGUGUCUCUGCAGCGCCAGGACACUGUGGGCUGGCACAGUGGGCCAGGAUCCCUGGUCUGGCACAGUGGGUUAAAGGAUCCAGCAUUGCCACAUCUGUGGUGUAGCUAGCAACUAUGGCUCAGAUCUGAUCCCUGGCUCAGGAACUUCAUAUGCUGUGGGUACGCCAUUAAAAAAAAAAAA
rnacentral:lncRNA from 1 species